UACGUAGGGGGCAAGCGUUGUUCGGAAUUACUGGGCGUAAAGGGCGCGUAGGCGGCACGGCAAGUCGGGAGUGAAAGGCCUGGGCUCAACCGAGGAACUGCUUUCGAGACUGCCGAGCUAGAGUGCGGAAGGGGCAACUGGAAUUCCCAGCGUAGCGGUGAAAUUCGUAGAUAUCGAGGAGGAACACCGAUGGCGAAGGCA
rnacentral:rRNA from 1 species